UGGGGAAUAUUGGACAAUGGGCGCAAGCCUGAUCCAGCAAUGCCGCGUGGAUGAAGAAGGUCUUCGGAUUGUAAAGUCCUUUCGACGGGGACGAUGAUGACGGUACCCGUAGAAGAAGCCCCGGCUAACUUCGUGCCAGCAGCCGCGGUAAUACGCAGGGGGCUCGCGUUACUCUGAAUUACUGGGCGUAAAGGGCGCGUAGGCGGCGAGAUAAGUCAGGCGUGAAAUUCCCGGGCUCAACCUGGGGACUGCGCUUGAGACUGUUUUGCGAGAGGAUGGAAGAGGGGCGUGGAAUUCCCAGUGUAGAGGUGAAAUUCGUAGAUAUUGGGAAGAACACCGGUGGCGAAGGCGGCGACCUGGUCCAUUACUGACGCUGAGGCGCGACAGCGUGGGGAGCAAACAGGA
rnacentral:rRNA from 1 species